UUUUACAAAGUCAUUGGAGGGCUAUUGUAUUUGAAGCCAGCAUGCUACCUGCAUCUAUGUUGUUUUGUACAGGAAGGAAAAUGAAAUUAGGUGCUAGGAUCAGAUUUUAAUCUAGGAAAUACUGAAGCACAAUUUGUCAUGUAUAUAAUGUGUGAUAAACUAAUGUAACAGAACCAGUCUUUGGAGAUACCUCACGACACUGUGAAGUUUAUUUGAUUUUUUUUUUUUUUUUUUUUGUUAGUGGGAAUAGUUUGAGUUCUUCAGCCAAUUUUUUUCACAAAAGAAGAGCUUUAAAAGAACUUUAUAUAUAAAAUGCUGAGGUAAUUGAUUCCAUAGAUAGUAAAUGGCUUUUUACAUGAGCCAAAGCUUUUCUCAUUUCAAGAUGUGACAAAACAUUUGCCAGAAAGAUCGUAUUUGUCAUAUCAAACUAGUUUUUCCAUUUCUGAUAAAGGCUUCAGAUCUCUAAUCCAGAGAGAUGCAUAGCAAAAGUAAGGAGUGCUAGAUUUGUUCUUUGAAUAAAAGAAGAUGAAAAUCCAUCUUCUUAUAUAUAACCAGAAAGAGAAAAACAUGUAUAUGUAAUCCUUCUCUUCUGCCUUGUUGCAUGUUUCUUAUAAUUAAAAUGUUUCUUGGCUUCUGGAAAUAUGUUUUUAGCUCCUCUGUGAUAAGCACUUCUUCUAUUUGUAUAUUAAAUUCACCUGGAAAGGAAAGCAAUGAUAUUUGCUUUGCAGAGGCUUAUUAUUAGAUUCCAAACUUGUAUGGCUUAAAUCAGAUUAAAAAAACUUAUCUUAUGACUUCUGAGUGACUCACGUUUUCUGAAGGCAAUAUCAAACCUUGAACUUCUAGAGUUCAUGCGGGAUGGUCACAAGCAUCUCCAGUUUUAAUUAACCUCUUUCUGGUUGGAGAGUCUGUUCACUCUUCCAGGAAAAAAAAUAAUCUAUUUAUUAGUGCCUCUAUCUCAUCCAAAAUAAAUGAGUUUCAUGGUGAACAUGACCUACUAAUUGAGCAUGAUAUGGCAGCCACAGUAUGAAAGUCUAUCUGCCUUUCCUCACUGGGGAGAAGAUUAAAGUCCAUCAGAGCCAAAAUCCUUAAAAUGCAGCCUAGCAAUUGUUAACUUUAGUUUGCUACUUUGAAUGCUUUUGACUUAAGAGCUGUUUUGAAGAAACACUGUAGAUUAAAGCUUGAGAGAGGGUCCACUGCUUUGGGUAUUUUUUCCUUCUGUGUACUUAGGUUUUUCUUGUGUGGAAGUGACAGAGGAGCGGUAGGAAAGGGAAUUAGGAAGAUGCGAUUGUGAAACUACACAAAAUGACAGCGGAGCUCUAAUAAGGCUGUAGUACACUAACUUCUGCGUUCUGAGAUUUUGGGUUUGUUUUCAGCUCCCAGAUUGUUCUCUACAGAAAUGCAAGAUGAAAAACACUGAAAACUCUUGUGCUUGAUGCCUCUGUGAAGUAAAUGUCAAUGCACUAAAGGUUUUUCAUUGACAGUUAUGUCUGAAUAAGUUAAAAUGAUUUUGCACUCUAUUUGCUGCUAAAUAUGAGGCUCUGUGGAGAUGGACUUAUAUUAAUUCAUAUGACAAAAAAAGCUCAAGUAUGACACUUAUUAAAAUCUUAUGCAACUUUACAGAAACCUUUUGGCUUACGUUUAAUCAAGUGAUAUGUCAUUGACCUUUAAUUUUUAG